AUUGAACGCUGGCGGCAGGCCUAACACAUGCAAGUCGAGCGGAUGAAGGGAGCUUGCUCCUGGAUUCAGCGGCGGACGGGUGAGUAAUGCCUAGGAAUCUGCCUGGUAGUGGGGGAUAACGUCCGGAAACGGGCGCUAAUACCGCAUACGUCCUGAGGGAGAAAGUGGGGGAUCUUCGGACCUCACGCUAUCAGAUGAGCCUAGGUCGGAUUAGCUAGUUGGUGGGGUAAAGGCCUACCAAGGCGACGAUCCGUAACUGGUCUGAGAGGAUGAUCAGUCACACUGGAACUGAGGCACGGUCCAGACUCCUACGGGAGGCAGCAGUGGGGAAUAUUGGGCAAUGGGCGAAAGCCUGAUCCAGCCAUGCCGCGUGUGUGAAGAAGGUCUUCGGAUUGUAAAGCACUUUAAGUUGGGAGGAAGGGCAGUAAGUUAAUACCUUGCUGUUUUGACGUUACCAACAGAAUAAGCACCGGCUAACUUCGUG
rnacentral:rRNA from 1 species